rfam:Apaloderma vittatum contig46175, whole genome shotgun sequence.
GGACCGGUUAGCUCAGUCAGUUGAGCGUGGCGCUAACAACGCUAAGGUAGCGGGUUCGAUUCCCGUUCGGUCCC